AGGGUUCCUCAGCACUGUUCGUCAGCUGAGGGUUAGCCGGUCCUAAGUCUCACCGUAAUUCGAAUGAGACGAAAUGGGAAGCAGGUUAACAUUCCUGCGCCGCUGUCAACUAAAAGUCGACGCCUUGGGUUCACCUGAGCCGGGCAAUCGCCCGGUCGAACUAUCCAACUCCGUGGAAGCCGUAAUGGCACGAAGCGGACGAACGGUAGGAUAGCGAAAGUCAGGCUAGCCUGGGGCCCGUGAAAAGACGAUGACAGUGUCCGUACCGAGAACCGACACAGGUGCUCAUGGCGGAGAAAGCCAAGGCCUGUCGGGAUCAAUCGACGUUAGGGAAUUCGGCAAUCUAGUCCCGUACCUUCGGAAGAAGGGAUGCCUGCCUCGGGAAGAGGCAGGUCGCAGUGACUNACAGAGCAAUUGUGUAGGUCGGCGUUCUGAUCGGGUGGAAGCACGGCCGAGAGUUCGUGUGGACCGAUUUGAAACGAAAAUCCUGGUCAUAGUAGUAGCGACAGUCGGGUGCGAAUCCUGACGGCCAAAAGAGCUAGGGUUCCUCAGCACUGUUCGUCAGCUGAGGGUUAGCCGGUCCUAAGUCUCACCGUAAUUCGAAUGAGACGAAAUGGGAAGCAGGUUAA
rnacentral:ncRNA from 1 species